AAUAUUGCAUCUGCAGUGUUUGCCGUGUCAUGUCUGAGUUUUCAGAUGCAUUUUACACUAAGUUAAUUGGAUUUGAUAGUCUUACCUUAUGGUAAUUUAGUUAGUGCAUGCAUUUUUGUGUAUGGGUUCUCAGAUUCUUUUUGCAUCUAAAGUUAUUAGAUUUGAUAAUUUUCAUGAUAUUGUAGUCUAUUUGUUUCAAGGGUGAGCGGUAGAUGUUCAAUUUUAUAAUCUAUAUAAAUACAUUAAAGCUGAAUCUCCUUAUGAACAGCAUAAAUACUAUUGAUUUUGGAUUGCAG
rnacentral:misc_RNA from 1 species